AGCUGGUUCUCCCCGAAAGCUAUUUAGGUAGCGCCUCGUGAAUUCAUCUCCGGGGGUAGAGCACUGUUUCGGCUAGGGGGCCAUCCCGGCUUACCAACCCGAUGCAAACUGCGAAUACCGGAGAAUGUUAUCACGGGAGACACACGGCGGGUGCUAACGUCCGUCGUGAAGAGGGAAACAACCCAGACCGCCAGCUAAGGUCCCAAAGUCAUGGUUAAGUGGGAAACGAUGUGGGAAGGCCCAGACAGCCAGGAUGUUGGCUUAGAAGCAGCCAUCAUUUAAAGAAAGCGUAAUAGCUCACUGGUCGAGUCGGCCUGCGCGGAAGAUGUAACGGGGCUAAACCAUGCACCGAAGCUGCGGCAGCGAACGUAUCACCCAAGACAACUUUACGGAGUUGACGAUUGACGGAGCGAAGCGACGUCAAAGCGUUCAUUAAAGUCGAGUUGGCUUAGGGAUACGUUCGUUGGGUAGGGGAGCGUUCUGUAAGCCUGUGAAGGUGUGUCGUGAGGCAUGCUGGAGGUAUCAGAAGUGCGAAUGCUGACAUAAGUAACGAUAAAGCGGGUGAAAAGCCCGCUCGCCGGAAGACCAAGGGUUCCUGUCCAACGUUAAUCGGGGCAGGGUGAGUCGACCCCUAAGGCGAGGCCGAAAGGCGUAGUCGAUGGGAAACGGGUUAAUAUUCCCGUACUUGGUGUUACUGCGAAGGGGGGACGGAGAAGGCUAUGUUGGCCGGGCGACGGUUGUCCCGGUUUAAGCGUGUAGGUGUGUGUUCCAGGUAAAUCCGGUUCACUUUAACACUGAGGCGUGACGACGAGGCACUACGGUGCUGAAGCAACAAAUGCCCUGCUUCCAGGAAAAGCCUCUAAGCAUCAGGUAACAC
rnacentral:rRNA from 1 species